GAUGAACGCUGGCGGCGUGCCUAAUACAUGCAAGUCGAGCGAACGGACGAGAAGCUUGCUUCUCUGAUGUUAGCGGCGGACGGGUGAGUAACACGUGGAUAACCUACCUAUAAGACUGGGAUAACUUCGGGAAACCGGAGCUAAUACCGGAUAAUAUUUUGAACCGCAUGGUUCAAAAGUGAAAGACGGUCUUGCUGUCACUUAUAGAUGGAUCCGCGCUGCAUUAGCUAGUUGGUAAGGUAACGGCUUACCAAGGCAACGAUGCAUAGCCGACCUGAGAGGGUGAUCGGCCACACUGGAACUGAGACACGGUCCAGACUCCUACGGGAGGCAGCAGUAGGGAAUCUUCCGCAAUGGGCGAAAGCCUGACGGAGCAACGCCGCGUGAGUGAUGAAGGUUUUCGGAUCGUAAAACUCUGUUAUUAGGGAAGAACAUAUGUGUAAGUAACUGUGCACAUCUUGACGGUACCUAAUCAGAAAGCCACGGCUAACUACGCG
rnacentral:rRNA from 1 species